rnacentral:rRNA from 2 species
UGGGGAAUAUUGCACAAUGGGGGAAACCCUGAUGCAGCGAUGCCGCGUGAAGGAAGAAGUAUUUCGGUACGUAAACUUCUAUCAGCAAGGAAGAAAGUGACAGUACUUGACUAAGAAGCCCCGGCUAACUACGUGCCAGCAGCCGCGGUAAUACGUAGGGGGCGAGCGUUAUCCGGAAUUACUGGGUGUAAAGGGUGCGUAGGCGGCACAUUAAGUCUGAUGUGAAAGACCGGAGCUUAACUCCGGGGUUGCAAUGGAAACUGAUGAGCUAGAGUGCAGGAGAGGAAAGCGGAAUUCCUAGUGUAGCGGUGAAAUGCGUAGAUAUUAGGAAGAACACCAGUGGCGAAGGCGGCUUUCUGGACUGAAACUGACGCUGAGGCACGAAAGCGUGGGGAGCAAACAGG